rnacentral:rRNA from 1 species
GACGAACGCUGGCGGCGUGCUUAACACAUGCAAGUCGAACGGAAAGGCCCUGCUUUUGUGGGGUGCUCGAGUGGCGAACGGGUGAGUAACACGUGAGUAACCUGCCCUUGACUUUGGGAUAACUUCAGGAAACUGGGGCUAAUACCGGAUAGGAGCUCCUGCUGCAUGGUGGGGGUUGGAAAGUUUCGGCGGUUGGGGAUGGACUCGCGGCUUAUCAGCUUGUUGGUGGGGUAGUGGCUUACCAAGGCUUUGACGGGUAGCCGGCCUGAGAGGGUGACCGGCCACCUGGGGACUGAGAGACGGAGCAGACGCGUACGGUAGGCAGCAGGGGGGAGUAUUGCACAAUGGGCGGAAGCCUGAUGCGAAAACGCCGCGUGCGGGAUGACCGCCUUCUGGGUGUAAACCGCUGUCGCCUGUGACGAAGCGUGAGUGACGGUAAUGAGUAAAGAAGCACCGGCUAACUACGUG